CACACCGCCCGUCACAUCACGAAAGUGGAUUGUACUAGAAGUCUGCGCGCUAACCCGCAAGGGAGGGAGCCGUCGAAGGCGGGGCUGGCGAUUGGGGUG
rnacentral:rRNA from 1 species